GACGAACGCUGGCGGCGUGCUUAACACAUGCAAGUCGAGCGGUAAGGCCCUUUCGGGGGUACACGAGCGGCGAACGGGUGAGUAACACGUGGGUGACCUGCCUUUAGCUCUGGGAUAAGCCUGGGAAACUGGGUCUAAUGCCGGACAUGACUCCGCGGUGCAUGCUGUGGGGUGGAAAGCCUUGUGCGGCUGGAGAUGGGCCCGCGGCCUAUCAGCUUGUUGGUGGGGUGAGGCCUACCAAGGCGACGACGGGUAGCCGGCCUGAGAGGGCGACCGGCCACACUGGGACUGAGACACGGCCCAGACUCCUACGGGAGGCAGCAGGUGGGGAAUAUUGGACAAUGGGGCNCAAGCCUGAUCCAGCCAUGCCGCGUGAGUGAUGAAGGCCU
rnacentral:rRNA from 1 species